rfam:Chelonia mydas contig215287, whole genome shotgun sequence.
CCAAAGGCUCUUUUAAGAGCCACUACAUUCACACUGAAAGGAGCUUU